rnacentral:rRNA from 1 species
UUAAUGAACUUCUUGACCUCAAAUCAGGUAGGACUACCCGC